AUUGAACGCUGGCGGCAGGCCUAACACAUGCAAGUCGAACGAGUGGCGGACGUGUGAGUAAUGUCUGGGAAACUGCCCGGUGGAGGGGGAUAACUACUGGACACGGUCGCUAAUACCGCAUACCAUCGGAUGUGCCCAGAGGGGAUUAGCUAGUAGGUGGGGUAACGGCUCACCUAGGCGACGAGCCCUAGCUGGUCUGCGAGGAUGACCAGCCACACUGGAACUGAGACACGGUCCAGACUCCUACGGGAGGCAGCAGUGGGGAAUAUUGCACAAUGGGCGCAAGCCUGAUGCAGCCAUGCCGCGUGUAUGAAGAAGGCCUUCGGGUUGUAAAGUACUUUCAGCGGGGAGGCGUUACCCGCAGAAGAAGCACCGGCUAACUCCGUGCCAGCAGCCGCGGUAAUUC
rnacentral:rRNA from 1 species